rnacentral:rRNA from 1 species
GACGAACGCUGGCGGCGUGCCUAAUACAUGCAAGUCGAGCGAAUCUGAGGGAGCUUGCUCCCAAAGAUUAGCGGCGGACGGGUGAGUAACACGUGGGCAACCUGCCUGUAAGACUGGGAUAACUUCGGGAAACCGGAGCUAAUACCGGAUAAUUCUUAUCAACUCAUGUUGGUAAGCUAAAAGACGGUUUCGGCUGUCACUUACAGAGUCGGGCCCGCGGCGCAUUAGCUAGUUGGUGAGGUAACGGCUCACCAAGGCAACGAUGCGUAGCCGACCUGAGAGGGUGAUCGGCCACACGUGGGACUGAGACACGGCCCAGACUCCGUACGGGAGGCAG